ACUAGUUUGUAGUCAUCCUCAGGAUUAUGAAUAGUGUAAAAUUACAGAUGCAUGCAGCUAUUAUAAAGCCAUUAUAAGCUGCAUCUGUAAUUUUACACUAUUCAUAAUCCUGAGGAUGACUACAAACUAGU
rnacentral:miRNA from 1 species